rnacentral:rRNA from 1 species
AUUGAACGCUGGCGGCAUGCUUUACACAUGCAAGUCGAACGGUAACAGGCCUUCGGGUGCUGACGAGUGGCGAACGGGUGAGUAAUGCAUCGGAACGUGCCCAAUCGUGGGGGAUAACGUAGCGAAAGUUACGCUAAUACCGCAUAAGCCCUGAGGGGGAAAGCAGGGGAUCGCAAGACCUUGCGCGAAUGGAGCGGCCGAUGUCAGAUUAGCUAGUUGGUGGGGUAAAGGCCUACCAAGGCGACGAUCUGUAGCGGGUCUGAGAGGAUGAUCCGCCACACUGGGACUGAGACACGGCCCAGACUCCUACGGGAGGCAGCAGUGGGGAAUUUCGGGACAAUGGGCGCAAGCCUGAUCCAGCCAUGCCGCGUGCGGGACGAAGGCC